rnacentral:rRNA from 1 species
AGUGAACGCUGGCGGUAGGCCUAACACAUGCAAGUCGAACGGCAGCACAGUAAGAGCUUGCUCUUACGGGUGGCGAGUGGCGGACGGGUGAGGAAUACAUCGGAAUCUACUUUUUCGUGGGGGAUAACGUAGGGAAACUUACGCUAAUACCGCAUACGACCUACGGGUGAAAGCAGGGGAUCCUCGGACCUUGCGCGAUUGAAUGAGCCGAUGUCGGAUUAGCUAGUUGGCGGGGUAAAGGCCCACCAAGGCGACGAUCCGUAGCUGGUCUGAGAGGAUGAUCAGCCACACUGGAACUGAGACACGGUCCAGACUCCUACGGGAGGCAGCAGUGGGGAAUAUUGGACAAUGGGCGCAAGCCUGAUCCAGCCAUACCGCGUGGGUGAAGAAGGCCUUCGGGUUGUAAAGCCCUUUUGUUGGGAAAGAAAAGCAGCAGGUUAAUACCCCGCUGUUCUGACGGUACCCAAAGGAUAAGCACCGGCUAACUUCGUG